UUCAUAUUGUAGUCCAUUUAAUGAAAUGUAGAUGCUCACUUUGUUCAAGAACAAACACCAUAGAGUUAAUUAUACUGUUUAUUUACAAGAAUUGAGAAAAUGUACAGUUUCUUACAUGGGUUACUAGUGCAAAUCCGACACUCUUGGUAAAUUAGAAAAAUGAAGAUUAGCUUAAAUGGAUACUGCAUGACAGCAUCACACCCAUAUGUUUGAAGAAGCAAUUUGAUAUAAAAAUAAACGGCACUUUAAUGGAACUUAAGAAAACAAGCAAAAUAACCAUGCAUCUGGGGUGCAACAGACACAAAAUAAUGAAUACGGCGGGGAAAAAAAAGCAACGCACUCAACUAUGCCAAUUUGUAAUAUUCUGAAUCCCAGGCCUUAGGCAUGGGGCUUUGUGGGACAGACAGAUCACUGUGUACCUUCAAACAAUUACUGCUGACAAACUAGCACACAGUGUCAAUAGGCAACGCAUGAACAGUAUGAACUGCUUAAUUAAAAGAACAAACCACUUGCACUUGAUAAAAAAGGGCCAAUUCCAACAUUUGGUACAUAACAAUUUUCAAACUGGUUUUAAAAGGUCAGGUUGUCCAAGUGCAGUUAUAAAGGCAUGUUUCUGAAACAUCUAAGCUUUCCAUACAACACAACAUAUCAUCCAUCUUUAAUGUUCUUGCAGUUUAAUUUGGAACUCUCAAAGACACAUUAAGCGACAUUCGGUAUGACACUUUUGCAGAGACGCAAAGAAAUCACUCUGGAUUCAUACUGAAAACAGCAACCAACAUGUUAAUACCCAAAAUGAAAUCAGCCCACAGUGUAGGAGCAACUUAUAAAACCAAAGAAAUAAGAUGACAAAUAUGAGGGCAGGCCAAAUAAAAGCAAGUAACCCUAGCAACAAUAUUUUGUAAAACUAAGGUUUAUCCUCAUCUUGGAUAAGGUUCUGCAUGAAGAGGGAGACCACAACACAACAUCACUCUAAUCCUGCAACAGCUACAGAACAGACAAUUCUACAGAGUACGUGGAGAAUGAUUCAAAACAUGAUGUGUUUUAUUUUAUUCUUUGCAAGGUGGUUUUCCUCUUGUUGGCAAGGCGGACUAUUGUUCAUAUGUGAACUGUAAGGAGGGUCAACAGUCACGCCAGCUCUGCUCCACAAUGGCCGACACACGCUUCUCAUACUCUCUCUUGUUUUCCUGAUACAGCUGAGCUGCCUGGCUGUUGGCAGGGCUGUUUGGGUUCGGCUCAUCCAGUAAAGACUGUGACAAUGAAAGGCAUGUUAACAACCUGAAUAAUGUCCUCACAUUGUUACAGUACAAUCAAAAAGGCAUAAAGAAGAGUUUCAAGCAAAAAUCAUGCUAAAUAAAACAUUUAGUUUUAGGUUACUACACAUUUUCCAAUUUCAAAAUUCCAUACUUUUCCAGACUCAAAAAAGGCUUCUCUGUAGAUUUUCAGACAAUAUUAUGAAAAAUCAAUGAUUAAGGGUGUAACGAUUAAAGGUCAAAUUCACAAUAUGAAUUUACAAUUUGAUACUCUCCAACUACUACAAACCAGCGUUGUCACAGUACCGAAAUUUCAGUAGUCGGUACCAAUAAAAUUUCACUUGUUUACGUUACAAAAGCAAAAAUAUUUGUGGCAUGUAGCCCUUAAAUAUUUUUUCAAUCAAGUAAACACUGCUUUAAAAAGGUCAAAUGACAAGUCUGUAAUAAAAUUAAGAAUAAAGAACUGUUAUUAUAUAAAACAAGUGACAAGUCUAUUAGUUAUCUAUUUUAACACAUCAAAAAAAAAUUUUGUUCCAUCCACUGCUAUGGUUAUCACCAAGACAAUCAUUGCAAUUUCAGAUUCAGUCCCGCAUUUAAAAAGUUUGCAUUCUGGCAAAAACUCCAAUUAUAAUCAAUGAAUAGAUACACUGCACAAUGAAUCUCUUAUUUACAUUUGUUUACAUUUUGUUGGUUAUAAUGAAACUACACAGAACUUUAAAGUGUGUGCUGAAUAAAAACUCCAUAAUUCUGAGCAGUAUUGAGAGGUUUCUCACUAACUUACAAUAACACAUCUGAUUGGCCAGAGUGUUCAUACGUACCACCUUUCCUGCAUAAUGGCUGGUAUCAUCACAUUUUUAAGAUUUUGGUAUUGACUUUGUACUGAAGUAGUGGAACUUUUGACAGCACUACUAAAAACAAAGCCUGAAUGAAGAAAAAUUUAAUUUGAAGGUUUGUUUUAAUUACUUAUAAGACAUACAUAUUUGUUUCUUUAAUUAUAAAAAGUGCUUUUCAUUGCAAAAUGAUCCAUCAGGAAUGGAGUGAGACUAAAAAUAUGCCAAGCACAGAGCAAUGGUGACACCUGAAUAGAAAUAAUAAUAAAAAUUCUGCCUGUAUGAUUAAUUUAUUUUUUUAGAAAUUCUCAAUUUUAUUCGGUAGGAAACAGAAUGAGUUUCCAACAAACAUUUCUCCAUAUUGUUUUCUUUUUUCCCACACUUAUCCAGUCAUUAAAACAUACUAAAAUAAAAUGUUAUACUUUUCCAUACUGUGUUGGAACCCUGUAGUUUGUGCAAAAAAGCAGAAAUAAG
ensembl:lncRNA